rnacentral:rRNA from 1 species
UACGGAGGGUGCAAGCGUUGUCCGGAAUCACUGGGCGUAAAGGGCUCGUAGGUGGCCAACUAAGUCAGACGUGAAAUCCCUCGGCUUAACCGGGGAACUGCGUCUGAUACUGGAUGGCUUGAGUUUGGGAGAGGGACGCGGAAUUCCAGGUGUAGCGGUGAAAUGCGUAGAUAUCUGGAGGAACACCGGUGGCGAAGGCGGCGUCCUGGACCAACACUGACACUGAUGAGCGAAAGCCAGGGGAGCAAACGGG